GAAGAAUUUCUUUUAUCCCACAAUUAUUAGUUGAGUUUAAUCGUGGUUCAUAAAUUCCAAAAACUCACGCAAGUUUGCAUUUGAACCAUAUCUACCAAGGCCACAUAAUUUUUGUCCUUGGCCUAGUGGAAGUGGUACACGCACACCUGUGCAACCCAAUCAGCAAAAAAAUAUUUGAAAACAUAUUAAACUUAGAACAAACUUCAAAGUUAACAAUAAUGGAAAUAUUAAAAAUAAGAACUUCAAUAAUGAAAAAUAUAUUUAAAAAGACAUGAUUAGAAAAACAGAAAAUUAAUCAAAAAUAUGGAAAAGAACGGUUUGCGGGGAGAAAAGGCCAGUACGAAAUAUUUGCCAU
rnacentral:lncRNA from 1 species